rnacentral:rRNA from 1 species
AUCAUGGCUCGAGGACGAACGCUGGCGGCGUGCUUAACACAUGCAAGUCGAACGGAAAGGCCCUGCUUUUGUGGGGUGCUCGAGUGGCGAACGGGUGAGUAACACGUGAGUAACCUGCCCUUGACUUUGGGAUAACUUCAGGAAACUGGGGCUAAUACCGGAUAGGAGCUCCUGCUGCAUGGUGGGGGUUGGAAAGUUUCGGCGGUUGGGGAUGGACUCGCGGCUUAUCAGCUUGUUGGUGGGGUAGUGGCUUACCAAGGCUUUGACGGGUAGCCGGCCUGAGAGGGCGACCGGCCACAUUGGGACUGAGAUACGGCCCAGACUCCUACGGGAGGCAGCAGUGGGGAAUAUUGCACAAUGGGCGGAAGCCUGAUGCAGCAACGCCGCGUGCGGGAUGACGGCCUUCGGGUUGUAAACCGCUUUCGCCUGUGACGAAGCGUGAGUGACGGUAAUGGGUAAAGAAGCACCGGCUAACUACGUG